rnacentral:lncRNA from 1 species
AAGGCAACGGCGACCAAAGUUUUCCCAGCAGUCGGAAAUCAUUCUUGGCAUUUAUCAGCUCGGCCACGUGUUCAGCUGGUCGGGAUAGCGGCUACGUGGAGAGAUACCAAGACUGAUUGCUCCGUGCAGUCCAGACUUGUAAAACAACCUCUUAGGAGCUGCAUUUCCAUGGCACUGGUGGUUUCGCAGCACAGAUGUGACUUCACAUCUUCACAAGCUUCAACCCUAAGCUUCACAGGGAAAGGAAACAGAAACAGUCGAAGGACCAAGGUUGUGUGCCAAGUCCCAGCUGGGAUUUCUGCAUGACUUCAGGGCUAUGUAUUUCCGAGAGGAUGAUUCUGAAAUCUCAUUUUUUGUAACAUCUUCACCACCAACAACAUUCAAUGAAGGGGAAAAGACGAUGGAGGGGGAGAAGGGAUAGAUCAAAAAGCAAAAGCCAUGGGCAGGCAGUCCCAAAUUCCAGAUUCAGACUCUACAAAACCUGGGCGACUUUUUCAUUCUGGAGUCAGACCUGAACACCAGAAAAAAUUUACCCUAUUUCAGCCAAGCUGAGUUCCCUUUAUAUAACACAGUGGCAUAUCAAUA